UAUAUUAUAUAUAUGUAAGUAAUGAUUAUUAUUAAUAUUUUAUAUUAUAUUAUAUUAUAUAUAUAUAUGACAAAGAAAGAAAGAAAAGAAACAGAGAGCAAAACAAAACAAAACAAAACAGAGAAGGGAGAAAGAAAGAAACAGAGAGCAAAACGAAACAGAGAAGGAAGGAAGGAAAGAAAGAAAGAAAAGAAAAGAAAAAGGGAAAUUUGGGGUUUUAAGGUUCAAAGUAAUUUGGUAAGUCAAUUUAAUCCCAUUUUCUCUUAAUUUUGAUAUUUUUUUUGAAAUCCUAGAAUAAAAUACUACUUGAUUUAAGUUGAAAUUUUGAAAGUUAGUAGAUUAUUAAGCAUGGUUCAUGUUGAAUAAAUUGUUAAAUUAGGGAUGUAUUUGAUAGAAAUUUUGAUUUGAAUUGAAUAAAGGAUUGAAUUGUAAACUAAACUAUAAGUUUUAAAUUUUAGGGAUUAAUUUGAAAUAAAUUCGGAAUUAUGAAAACAUGAUAAAAAUUAAAUAGUUAAAUAUGAGUUUAGUAAGAAAUUGGGUAGAAUAAGGGUAUGAAUUGAGAAAGAAAAAUAUAUAGGUUUAGUUAGGGGUUAAAUUGAUUUAAUUUCAAGUUAGAAGUUAGUAAAGAAUGUAAUUGUAAAAUAAAAUAUAAGUUUUGAAUCGAUAGGGAUUAAAUUGAAAGAAUCCCGAAAUUAGGGAUUUAUGGUGAAAUUGAGGAAUUAAAUUGACUUUAUAGUAAGAAUUAAGAGAGAAUAUAGAGUUAGAUUGGGAAAAAUAAAAUUAGUAUUGGUAAGAGAUUAAAUUAGAAUUUGGGUAAAGUUUAGGUAUAAAAGGAAAUAUUUUAAUGAAAUUGUGUAUUAAUGAUUUUUAAUUGUUUAAUUACGUAGCUAAUGUCGUGUACGAGUCAUUGUCUGAGAAGGAAAGGAGAAAGUGGACAAGGAGUGACUCGAGAGAAAUUACGGUUAGUAUUACUAUAAUUCGAAUUUAAUUAUUAAUUGUUAAAAUUUAAAUUAAUAUACAUGAUAAGAAAAUUGAGGUGAGUAUCAUGAUUGAAUCGAAUGAAAUAUAUAUAUACGUAUUGAUAUUGAAUUUAUUGAUAGUAAUUGUUGAAUUUUGAAUAAUAUGUUUAGUAAAUAAAAAUAAGGAGAAUACCAAUAUUUAAUUGAAUGAAUUAAAAUAUGAAUUGAAUAAAUGAGAUAUUAAAUUGAGAUAUGUGAAUAUGUGAAUUGUGUAUUGAUUGAAAGGUGGUUUGAAUUGAAUCGAAGUAUGAUUAUAUGUGAAUAUCUGAAAUAUGUAUUGGUAUUGAAUUGUAUAUUGAUUUGAAAGUGGGAAGUGAAUCUGAGUUGAAUUGCGAUUAAAUCGAAAGUGAAAUUGAAAAAGAAAAAUGUAUUGAAACAAAUGGUGAUUAAAUGGGAAUGAUUUGAAUUGAAAGUAUGAGAAAGUGAUUGAAUUGAAAUGUGAUUCGGAAACCCUAUUAACUAGUCGGGCUGAGUCGGAUAUAGUUGGCAUGCCAUAGGAUUGGAAGAGUUCAGGGAUACUUCGACCUUGAGUCGAUGAGACACUGGGUGUCAUACUAUUACUUCGGAUAGAUUCGAUGAGGUACUGGGUACCAACUUACUUCGGCUUGGCCGAUGAGACACUGGGUGUCAACUAUUGCUUCGAACUAUCCGAUGAGGCACUGGGUGCCAUUCUGGUGUGUUUGGUUGGAUCCGUGUAUCCGCCAAGGUCCGAGUCUUGUUAAUAGGGGUAAAUAAUUGAAAUGAGAAAAUUGAAUAAAUGUGAUUGAUUGAGCUCGAAAUAAGAGAUUUAAAGAUAUGAACCCAAAGUUCAUGAUAUGAAAAAGAGUAAAUUUUGUUAUAUGAUAUUAGUGAGUACAAAUUGCAAUAAAAUUUAUAUUGAAUAUAAAUUAAAUGAAAUGAAUUGUAUAUGAAUUGAAAUGAACUAUUGGAAUGAGAUGUAAAGAAAAAUCCAAUGGAAUUGAGAUAGUGAAAUAAGGUAUGAAUACAAUUAAAUACAAGAUUUGAAUUAUAGCUUAUUGUUAUUAAUUAUCAAGUUGAUUUAAUGCAUGAGAUAAUUAAUGAAUAAUUGUAGACAUAAAUAAAAUGUAUAUAAUUUAUCGAUUAAUGUUAUUAAUUCGAAUUAUGGUAAUACCACUGAGUAUUUCCAUACUCAGCGUAUGGUUGUUUCCGUGCGCAGGUUAGGUCAAAGUCGGAUUGUUGAAUCAGCAUCCAAAGCCGAUUCUGAGCUAACUGUGGUUGUGAACAUUUCUUUUAGUUAUGGCAUGUAUAGGAAUUUAGUAAUUUUGUAUAUUUGUAAAUAUGAUUUUACUAUAGAAUGAUGUGUAAGUAUUUGAUGAUGAAUGGUUGCUUAAAUGGUCAAGGAUGAAGUUAAUUAUUGUUAUAAAAGUCUAAGUGAUAAAUUAGGUAUGAAAGUCAUAAAAUGGUAAAAUUUUGCAAAGAAACAGAAUUCAGGCAGCAAUAGUGACGUAACUUUGAAAAAUCACCUAGGAUAGUAUAAAAUGAAUUAGAGGGUGAAUGAUAUAUGAAAUGAAAUAUUAUUGAGUCUAUUUAAAAAUAACGGUUUAGCAAAAAGAAAUUUAUAUUUUAAGAUAUGUGAAUUUUAGUGAGAAAUGGUCAGAUCUAUUUCUGGAGUCCCCUGUUCCGAGUUUAGAAAAUCACUAAAAAUGGUAUAAAAAUAUUUAUGAGUUGUAGUUUAUAUGUGUAGAAUCCUUAUUGAGUCUAUUUUCUGUAGAAAUAAGUGGUAAUAUCAUAUGAAAAUCCUAUAAUGAGAAAAUUUAUUUUUAGUACCAAGGGGUCAGGACAGUCGAGUGAAGAAACAGGGGAGAAUUUAACUAAUAAACUGUACUAAAUGGCUAAACCAAAAAUUCUGGAAAUUUUAUGGUAGAAAGAUAUAUGAGUCUAGUUUCAGGAAAAAUUUACGAAAUUAAAUUUGGAGUUCUGUAGCUCGAGUUAUAAUCAAUUUAGUAACUGCUGCGCGAUUAAACAGAUUACUGUAAACAGUGAAAAAUAUUUUUAAAACGAAUUUUUAUGCCCCGAAUUAGUAAGAAAAACUAAGUAAUGCCUCGUACUCGAUUCCGGAAACGGUCUCGGGUAAGGGGUGUUACAUACCCGGUAAGUUAGGGCACCACACCUCGAAGCUCCGAAAAUAAGCAUUUUUUAGACUCGUGUUGUGAUUUAAAAGAAUAUUUCGCAUUUAGAUUGAAUGAGAAAAGUCGAGGCCCAGUAACUUAGGGCACGAUUAUCUCGAAUCACCUAAUGCGGAAUAUUGCUACUUUGUGAAAGAAUUGCAUUAAUAGAUUGAGUGGGAAAUAUAACAUAAUUUAGCAUAAAAGCAAAUUAUAGAAUUGCUAUGUAUGAUGACACAAUGAUAGGUGUGGUAGUGUCAAAAACGAUAAUACGAACAGUUAUAAAAGAUGAUAUAGUAAUGAGGCUAAGCAAACGUAAACACAUGCGUGAGGAAAAUGAAAUAAUCAAACACGCAAGCAAAUAAAUAAAUGAAUAAAUAAAUAAAUAAUGGUAGAAUAAAAUGAUAACGAAAACAAUAAUAACGAUAUGAGUAAAGAUAAACGAAUAAAACGAAUAAAAAAGAAAAUAAUAAAAUAAUGAAUAAAGCAG
rnacentral:lncRNA from 1 species